rnacentral:rRNA from 2 species
GGUUGAUGAACGGCGCUUGCACCGUGAUUCAACAUGGAACGAGUGGCGGACGGGUGAGUAACACGUGGGUAACCUGCCCUUAAGUGGGGGAUAACAUUUGGAAACAGAUGCUAAUACCGCAUAGAUCCAAGAACCGCAUGGUUCUUGGCUGAAAGAUGGCGUAAGCUAUCGCUUUUGGAUGGACCCGCGGCGUAUUAGCUAGUUGGUGAGGUAACGGCUCACCAAGGCGAUGAUACGUAGCCGAACUGAGAGGUUGAUCGGCCACAUUGGGACUGAGACACGGCCCAAACUCCUACGGGAGGCAGCAGUAGGGAAUCUUCCACAAUGGACGCAAG